CAAAAUCCUGAGCGGUAUUGACAAACCACACGAGCGCAGGGUCUGACUGCAUGAUCAGCUGUCUGUGUCUACGCUACACCCUGUUAACCACAAGCAGUGUUAGAGCUAAAUAUAUCUGCAAUGCAGAAACGGGAGAAUGAGAGAACCACGCCGCCAUUUAAGAUAACGUGAAUUACCUUCCCAGAAGGCGAAACCAUCAGAUACGGCAAGCUGAUACCCAACACAUGAACAGAAUUGUGAAGAUUGAUGUCUUAGCUCUGAAAAUAUUUCACUGAAAGAUUUCUUUAGGUAAAUAUUGUUUACCAUAUGAAUAAGUGAAUAUAAAUGUUUU